AUGACAGCUUGUUUGAAGGUUCUAGCAGGGGAGUGGAGCUACUUGUAUUCCUUGAGUGAAGACUGGCCCUCCUCUGUCAGAGAUGGUCAUCCUCUUCAACCAAGCAUGCAGCUUUGGAAGGGAUGCACAUGGAGAGCAUCUGCUUUCCAUGAGCCAUGCCGUCAGCAGUCUCACAAUCAUAGCCUCACCCCUUCGUCCUAAGCCACAGGUAUGGACCAAUGUUAGCCAAUCAUCCACCCGACAAUAGCAACUGAUUGAAGAAGUGAGCUCAAGAACCAAUUAGGGCCUGAGGGCUUUACCUGAAGUGAAAUAUGAACAUCCAAGGGCAAAAAGAAACACUCUCUCCACUGGAUUGUUAUGCCUGGGCCUGCAGCAACCAAGUUCUCUACCGCAUGGAGAGAUCUGAGAUGUGGUUAGACAAAAUGAGAAGAGCACAGACAAGCAGAAACAAGAGCUGGGCAAGGAUCUCUGAAAAGCAGUCUUCCCAAGUGGGCUUAAAACUGUAGUCACGACGAAUUGUAUUUUCAGAGGCAGCACAGUGCAUUUCUUAUAGUUCUUGUUGUUCUUUACUAUUAAAUAAAAACUGGUUCGCUGUAACUUGUAUUUUGACCAGCUCUCCACUAUCAUGGAAUGAACAUAUUCUAUCUAUUGUUUGAGAGUCUUUUACAUAUUAAAAGAUAAUCUGUAUUCCCUGAGCCUCAUUUUUUUUUUUUUCUCAAGAUAAAGUAUCAUUUAGCUCUAGUAAGAGAAACAGUGUGGACUGGGGUGAAACAUGAAUCUGAUCCAACAUGACAAAUCUUUUUUUCCUAUGAGGAUUUUCUGCCAGGUCAAUGGAAAUAGUUAAAUAGAUAACAGGAUGUUAGAUACAGUUUGAGUGCAUAAGUGAAGUAUAAGAAAGGUAACUCGUAUAAAGCAUAACUUCAUAUGUUAGAAAUAAAAUGAUCUAGGCCGGGCGCGGUGGCUCAAGCCUGUAAUCCCAGCACUUUGGGAGGCCGAGAUGGGCGGAUCACGAGGUCAGGAGAUCAAGACCAUCCUGGCUAACACAGUGAAACCCCGUCUCUACUAAAAAUACAAAAAAAACUUAGCCGGGCGAGGUGGCAGGCGCCUGUAGUCCCAGCUACUCGGGAGGCUGAGGCAGGAGAAUGGCGUGAACCCGGAAGGCGGAGCUUGCAGUGAGCUGAGAUCCGGCCACUGCACUCCAGCCUGGGUGACAGAGCGAGACUCCGUCUCAAAAAAAAAAAAAAAAAAAAAAAAAAAAAAAAAAAAAAAAUGAUCUGUUUUCCAGAGCAGUAUUCUGCUCUCUCUCUCUCUCUCUUUUUUUUUUUUUUUGUUAGAAAAAGUAAAUAGAAUAAGACAAUUGACCAAAGAUUUAAAAUUUCAACAAAGUUCUGUCAGUGUCUAGGAACUGUUAGAAGUCAGUGGGAAAAAAUUAUUCAAUAGCAAAUUAGAAAUGGAAAUAUGAAACACAAAUUUAGAGAAACAGUGGUAUUUCAGGAUUUUUAAGUUAAUCAACCAGUUGACAGAAAAUCCAACUUGUUCUAAAAGAGGAUACAGAAAAGACAAUGACUACAUUGAGAAUAUCAAGAUAUGAAGAUCAGUUGAAAUUUUAAAAAAUAUUAUUUUUACUGGCAAUUUAGACCAAAAUGAGAAAACUGAUUGAUUGCAGGUGGGGACAAGUUUCCUUUACAUGUCACAGUUCCAAACUCCAGUGAUACAUGUCAAUUCUGAAUGGUACCAGGAUAAUUUGGUGAUCUCUCACAGUUGAAAUGGUGGUUUUAAAUGAUCUAAGAAUUUCUAGUUUAGGCUUUAGAAAGACCAUAAAGUUUAUUUCAAUAAACUAGUACCUGUUUACAUUUAAAAGAGAAGAAAUUUAAAAGUAGAAAUUCUUCUCAAUUAUCUGGGCCAGUAGUUUAGUCUCGUAAAUAAACGUCUAUGUGGUAAAUCUCUAAAUUAACUUGAUUAAAUGUUACUACAGCUUUUUUUCUUGGAGCUCAGUAGAUCAUUUCAAUAUAAUUCCAAACAAUCUCUUCAACAUGAAUAUCCUUGGCCCCUCACUUGUGUACUCUCACAUUCCAGGAACACAAGAGGUUUUUUUUCCAGGAACACAAGAGGUUUUUCUCUAGACUUCAGUCUGGGAGUGUGAUCUCUGGUCUACUUUAUAUUGAUACAAUAGUUAUUUUCUUGGGAGUAAAAUUUGUUUUACCACAGUGGAAGAGUGUACAAUCAGAGGAGUCACAUGUCUCAGCUUUGAAGUCAGAAAAAUCUUGGGUUCAACUUUGAGCUCUCUAAUUCACCAAGACUUUCUGAGCCCAUUUCCAUAUUUAUAAAAUCAAAACCAUAAUGUCUACUUUAUAGAUUUGUUAUGAGGGCUUGGUUAUUUUUCCAAAAUCCUUCAUAUGUUGUAAUUACUAAACUAGUAAACUGGUAGAAACUUCUUUUAUAGAUGUAAGAAGUGGGG
ensembl:lncRNA